UAGUUUAUGCAUGCUAUGCUACUCCGUAUUUUCUUCUAAAACAAAAAUUACGAAGUUCUACUGCUACUUUUUUUGUUAACUUAGUUGAUCUCGAGAAGUGUGCUAUUGUGUUUAGCUUUAUAGGCAUUAUAGCUCUAAGCCUCUAAUUGACUUUUGCAGUUUCUAAUUCAGAUAAAGCUUAUUACUUUUAUUUAAAAACAAAAGAAGAAGGGUCCUCUCCCUGUCUCUUUCCCACUUACGCUUUUUUGCUACUUUAUUUCUCAUCUCACUCAUUCAUUCUUAUCACUAUUCUAUCACUAUUCUAUGUCUUUUCCUCUGAAACUUUCCUACUUUAAGAGGUUUUGCAUCAUAUGGAAAAAUCCCCCUUUAAAAGAAAUACAAAUAAAGAUGGCAUACGUAUUGUUGUUGUCUGUUGCUAUGAAGCAACACUAUGAAACACCACAACCACGGACAUAUCAAGAACAGAUAUGGUAAAAUGGAAGCCGACCACAACCAGAGAUGGUGUUACAGAAGACAGAGACCGGGGAAAGCUCUUCGGCAAUCUCUGUCACAAAUAAUGUGACCCGUAACUUUCAAUUUUCUCUCACUCAGAAAUUGGGGUUUGUACUAAAAUUGGGGAUUUUGAUUUACUGUCUCAUUUGAAGCGAUUUCAUGUAAUUAAUUGAGGAAAUUUGGUCUAAUUAGCAUUAUUAAGCAAGGGACUAAGGAGAAGUAGAAAGCUUGAUAAAGGCGAGAUGGAUCUACGCGUGGGAAAUGGAGCACGGAUUGCUGCAUUAGCCGUAGGAUCUUAUUUUAUUUCUUUGCCUAGUGGUUUUGUUUUGGAACUAGAAAACUGUUACUAUGUUCCUAGUAUCACCAGAAACAUUAUUUUCGUUUCAAGUUUGGAUUCUAAAGGUUUUAGUUUUCAAUUUAAAGACAAUAGUUGUUGUUUUGCUUUGAAUGGAUUGUUUUAUGGUUCA